rnacentral:rRNA from 1 species
AACGAACGCUGGCGGCAUGCCUAACACAUGCAAGUCGAACGAGAUCUUCGGGUCUAGUGGCGCACGGGUGCGUAACGCGUGGGAAUCUGCCCUUUGGUUCGGAAUAACAGUUGGAAACGACUGCUAAUACCGGAUGAUGACGAAAGUCCAAAGAUUUAUCGCCAGAGGAUGAGCCCGCGUAGGAUUAGCUAGUUGGUGUGGUAAAGGCGCACCAAGGCGACGAUCCUUAGCUGGUCUGAGAGGAUGAUCAGCCACACUGGGACUGAGAUACGGCCCAGACUCCUACGGGAGGCAGCAGUGGGGAAUAUUGGACAAUGGGCGAAAGCCUGAUCCAGCAAUGCCGCGUGAGUGAUGAAGGCCUUAGGGUUGUAAAGCUCUUUUACCCGGGAUGAUAGUGACAGUACCGGGAGAAUAAGCUCCGGCUAAUUCCGUGCCAGCCGCCGCCGUAA